UGGCGGCCUUAGCGCGGUGGUCCCACCUGACCCCAUGCCGAACUCAGAAGUGAAACGCCGUAGCGCCGAUGGUAGUGUGGGGUCUCCCAUGCGAGAGUAGGGAACUGCCAGGCA
rnacentral:rRNA from 1 species